rnacentral:rRNA from 1 species
GACGAACGCUGGCGGCGUGCUUAACACAUGCAAGUCGAACGGAAAGGCCCUGCUUUUGUGGGUUUCUCGAGUGGCGAACGGGUGAGUAACACGUGAGUAACCUGCCCUUGACUUUGGGAUAACUUCAGGAAACUCCGGCUAAUACCGGAUAUGAUCUCCUGCUCCAUGUUGGUGGUUGGAAAGUUUCGGCGGUUGGGGCUGGACUCGCUGCUUAUCCGCUUGUUGGUGGGGUAGGGGCUUACCAAGGCUUUGACGGGUAGCCGGCCUGAGAGGGUGACCGGCGACAUUGGGACUGAGAGACGGCCCAGACGCCAACGGGAGGCAGCAGGGGGGAAUAUUGCACAAUGGGGGGAAGCCUGAGGCAGAAACGCUGCGUGCGGGAUGACGGGUUUCGGGUGGUAAACAGCUGUCGCAUGUGACGAAGAGUGAGUGACGGUAAUGGGUAAAGAAGCACCGGCUAACUACGUG